rnacentral:rRNA from 2 species
GAAGGGAGCUUGCUCCCGGAUGUUAGCGGCGGACGGGUGAGUAACACGUGGGUAACCUGCCUGUAAGACUGGGAUAACUCCGGGAAACCGGAGCUAAUACCGGAUAGUUCCUUGAACCGCAUGGUUCAAGGAUGAAAGACGGUUUCGGCUGUCACUUACAGAUGGACCCGCGGCGCAUUAGCUAGUUGGUGGGGUAAUGGCUCACCAAGGCGACGAUGCGUAGCCGACCUGAGAGGGUGAUCGGCCACACUGGGACUGAGACACGGCCCAGACUCCUACGGGAGGCAGCAGUAGGGAAUCUUCCGCAAUGGACGAAAGUCUGACGGAGCAACGCCGCGUGAGUGAUGAAGGUUUUCGGAUCGUAAAGCUCUGUUGUUAGGGAAGAACAAGUGCGAGAGUAACUGCUCGCACCUUGACGGUACCUAACCAGAAAGCCACGGCUAACUACGUGCCAGCAGCCGCGGUAAUACGUAGGUGGCAAGCGUUGUCCGGAAUUAUUGGGCGUAAAGGGCUCGCAGGCGGUUUCUUAAGUCUGAUGUGAAAGCCCCCGGCUCAACCGGGGAGGGUCAUUGGAAACUGGGAAACUUGAGUGCAGAAGAGGAGAGUGGAAUUCCACGUGUAGCGGUGAAAUGCGUAGAGAUGUGGAGGAACACCAGUGGCGAAGGCGACUCUCUGGUCUGUAACUGACGCUGAGGAGCGAAAGCGUGGGGAGCGAACAGGAUUAGAUACCCUGGUAGUCC